GUCUAUGGCCAUACCACCCUGAACGCGCCGGAUCUCGUCUGAUCUCGGAAGCUCAGCAGGGUCGGGCCUGGUUAGUACUUGGAUGGGAGAUAAAUCCCUUAGCCACGUUGGUUGAUAGUGUCAUUCACA
ensembl:rRNA 5S_rRNA 5S ribosomal RNA